rnacentral:rRNA from 1 species
CCUACGGGAGGCUGCAGUAGGGAAUAUUGCUCAAUGGGGGAAACCCUGAAGCAGCAACGCCGCGUGGAGGAUGAAGGUUUUCGGAUUGUAAACUCCUUUUGUUAGAGAAGAUAAUGACGGUAUCUAACGAAUAAGCACCGGCUAACUCCGUGCCAGCAGCCGCGGUAAUACGGAGGGUGCAAGCGUUACCCGGAAUCAAUGGGCGUAAAGAGCGCGGAGGCGGGAUAGCAAGUCAGAUGUGAAAUCCUAUGGCUUAACCAGAGAACUGCAUUUGAAACUGUUAUUCUAGAGUAUGGGAGAGGGAAGUGGAAAUCCUUGGUGAAGGGUAAAAUCCGUAGAGAUCAAGAGGAAUACUCAUUGCGAAGGCGACCUGCUAGAACAUAACUGACGCUGAUGCGCGAAAGCGUGGGGAGCAAACAGGAUUAGAUACCCUAGUAGUC